CAGUCGCCGCGGGAAUACGUAGGUGGCAAGCGUUGUCCGGAAUUAUUGGGCGUAAAGCGCGCGCAGGUGGUUUAAUAAGUCUGAUGUGAAAGCCCACGGCUCAACCGUGGAGGGUCAUUGGAAACUGUUAAACUUGAGUGCAGGAGAGAAAAGUGGAAUUCCUAGUGUAGCGGUGAAAUGCGUAGAGAUUAGGAGGAACACCGGUGGCGAAAGCGGCUCUCUGGCUUGUAACUGACGCUGAGGCUCGAAAGCGUGGGGAGCAAACAGGAUUAGAUACCCGCGUAGUCCCUGUCUCUUAUAC
rnacentral:rRNA from 1 species